rnacentral:rRNA from 1 species
CAGCAGCCACGGGAAUACGUAGGUGGCAAGCGUUGUCCGGAAUUAUUAGGCGUAAAGGGCUCGCAGGCGGUUUCUUAAGUCUGAUGUGAAAGCCCCCGGCUCAACCGGGGAGGGUCAUUGGAAACUGGGAAACUUGAGUGCAGAAGAGGAGAGUGGAAUUCCACGUGUAGCGGUGAAAUGCGUAGAGAUGUGGAGGAACACCAGUGGCGAAGGCGACUCUCUGGUCUGUAACUGACGCUGAGGAGCGAAAGCGUGGGGAGCGAACAGGAUUAGAUACCCCCGUAGUCCCUGUCUCUUAUAC